GAGGCAUCUGAAAACAGAGGGAAUUGGCCACCUUUACAGAGACAGUUAUUGCACUUGGAGAGACAACAAACCCACAUAAUGAAUAUGUUGCAGGAUUUCAUGGGUGGUUCACACGACGGCAUGAUAAGUUUGGAGAACCGUGUUAGAGGUCUUGAGAGGAUUGUAGAAGAGAUGUCAAGAGAAAUUUCCAUACAAUCAGGUGCGAGGGGAAAGGCGGCAGCAUCAUGGAGGUCUGAUGCAAAUGGAUGGGAUAGUUCUAAGAAUGGAGAUUUUUCUAGAAACACUCAGGCCAG